GUAUAAGAGACAGCAGCCGCCACGGUAAUACGGAGGGUGCAAGCGUUAUCCGGAUUUAUUGGGUUUAAAGGGUCCGUAGGCGGACUUAUAAGUCAGUGGUGAAAGCCUGUCGCUUAACGAUAGAACUGCCAUUGAUACUGUAAGUCUUGAGUAUAUUUGAGGUAGCUGGAAUAAGUAGUGUAGCGGUGAAAUGCAUAGAUAUUACUUAGAACACCAAUUGCGAAGGCAGGUUACCAAGAUAUAACUGACGCUGAGGGACGAAAGCGUGGGUAGCGAACAGGAUUAGAUACCCCAGUAGUCCCUGUCUCUUAUAC
rnacentral:rRNA from 1 species